AGCUUUGUGCAGUGGCAGUAUUGUAGCCAAUGAGGUUUAUCCGAGGCGCGAUUAUUGCUAAUUGAAAAGAUAUAACUGGAGGCAGCACUCUAUGGAUGGCCUUACACCUGAAAGAAAACCCCAGGAAUGGGGAAUUCCUAUUCCUAUAGCGAAAUAUUUAAAUAAGCGUUUGUACA
rnacentral:snRNA from 11 species